rnacentral:rRNA from 1 species
UUUCGCAAUGCCCGAAAGGGUGACGAAGCGACGCCGCGUGUGGGAAGAAGGCCUUCGGGUUGUAAACCACUGUCGGGAGUUAAGAAAUGCAAGGAUAUGAAUAGUAUCUUUGCUUGACUAAGGCUCCGGAGGAAGCCACGGCUAACUCUGUGCCAGCAGCCGCGGUAAUACAGAGGCGGCAAGCGUUGUUCGGAAUUAUUGGGCGUAAAGAGCACGUAGGCGGCCCUGCAAGUCAGCUGUGAAAGCCUCCUGCUUAACGGGAGAAGUGCAGUUGAAACUACGGGGCUAGAGUGCGGAAGGGGAGAGUGGAACUUCUGGUGGAGCGGUGAAAUGCGUAGAUAUCAGAAGGAACACCGGCGGCGAAAGCGGCUCUCUGGUCCGUAACUGACGCUGAGGUGCGAAAGCCAGGGGAGCAAACGGGAUUAGAUACCCCGGUAGUCCUAGCCGUAAACGAUGGGCACUAAGUAGAGGGGUUUU